rnacentral:snRNA from 2 species
AUCUUUGCGCUUGGGGCAAUGACGCAGCUAAUGAGGUUCUAACCGAGGCGCGUCUAUUGCUGGUUGAAAACUAUUUCCAAACCCCCUCUUAGGCCUUGGCUCAGCCUUGUGCCUUCGAGAAUUUCUGCAAGGGCUCCCUUCGGGGUAAAGCC